rnacentral:misc_RNA from 1 species
AUGCGAUAAGUAAUGUGAAUUGCAGAAUUCAGUGAAUCAUCGAAUCUUUGAACGCACAUUGCGCCCGUUAGCAUUCUAGCGGGCAUGCCUGUCCGAGCGUCAUUUCAACCCUCAGGGUCCCCGUUCCGGCGGGGAACCUGGUGUUGGGGAUCGGCCCGCCCCGUGCGGCGCCGUCCCCCAAAUUCAGUGGCGGUCUCGCUGCAGCCUCCCCUGCGUAGUAGUUACAACCUCGCAUCGGAGCUCAGCGCGGCCACGCCGUAAAACCCCCGACUUUCUGAACGUUGACCUCGGAUCAGGUAGGAAUACCCGCUGAACUUAA